ACCACCACCAUCCCAUCCCCCGCAGGAAUUGGUAGCAAUAACUCAUAAAUCAUGGUAUUCUCUGAGGGAAGGUCAGGUAGAGAACCACUCAGAACGUUAUUUAACUUGUAAAAAAGAAUAAUUAUAAAUAAAUAAAAUAAAUAAAAGAAUAAAAUCCAAAACUGGUGAACAGGAAACCUUCACCGGCUUUCACUUCAGCAGAAAAGAGUCCCUCACCAGUUUCCAAAUAUGUCAUUUCACAGACCCAAAGUUCACUCAUUGAAGGAGAGGUGGAUCCCCUUGAAGAAAAGACAAUGCAAUGCUACUUUCCCGCAGUGAAGCCACCACCCCACUGCUAGUCUCCACUCAACCAAUACCAAUUUCAAAUUGGGUGUGACUGCUCAUGACUCCAACAAAUCAACUUGCAAUGCUUUGGACUGAUUCAAAGAUUUAAG